AACGCAUCUUGCGCUCCUUGGUAUUCCGAGGAGCAUGCCUGUUUGAGUGUCAUUUAAAACUUCUCAACUGCUCCAGAUUUGUUUCUGGAUGUGGCUUGGAAAUGGAGGGAAGUGCAGGCUUCUGCUGAAGUCUGCUCCUCUGAAAUGUAUUAGCGGUGUCUGGGCAAGACUACCACAGGUGUGAUAACUAUCAAUGCCUUGGUGCGUGCUGCUACCGCUUUCGAACCAUUCAAUGACCAACUUGACCUCAAAUCAGGUAGGAUUACCCGCUGAACUUAA
rnacentral:misc_RNA from 1 species